ACCCCCGGGAAACUGGGACCAAUUCCCUAUAGGCGUGAGCACCUGGAAUGGACACACGCCCAAAAGGACACCGACCACGUUCGGCGCCCGCCAUAGGAUGAGGCUGCGGCUGAUCAGGCAGUUGGCGAGGUAACGGCUCACCAAACCUGUGACCAGUACGGGCCAUGAGAGUGGUAGCCCGGAGAUGGGCACUGAGACAGGGGCCCAGGCCCUACGGGGCGCGGCAGGCGCGAAAACUCCACAAUGUACGAAAGUACGAUGGGGUUAUCUCGAGUGUCGACUGAAAAAGCCGACUCUUCCACAGAGUAAUAUCCUGUGGGAAUAAGAGGGGGGCAAGACUGGUGUCAGCCGCCGCGGUAACACCAGCCCCUCGAGUGGUGGGGACUAUUAUUUGGCCUAAAGCGUCCGUAGCCGGCUACAGCCGUCACCCCGUUAAAUCCAGCGUCUCAAGCGUUGGACUGCGGGUGAUACCCUGUAGCUUGAGGGUGGGACAGGUCAGCGGUAUUUCCGGGGUAGGGGCGAAAUCCUUUGAUCCCGGGAGGACCACCAGUGGCGAAGGCUGCUGACUAGAACACGCCUGACGGUCAGGGACGAAAGCUGGGGUAGCGAACCGGAUUAGAUACCCGGGUAGUCCCAGCUGUAAACGAUGCACGCUAGGUGUUGGGUCGGCCACGCGCCGCCCCAGUGCCGCAGGGAAGCCGUUAAGCGUGCCGCCUGGGAGUACGGCCGCAAGGCUGAAAACUUAAA
rnacentral:rRNA from 1 species